UACGAAGGACCCAAGCGUUAUCCGGAUUUAUUGGGUUUAAAGGGUGCGUAGGCGGAUUUGUAAGUCAGUGGUGAAAUCCUGCAGCUUAACUGCAGAACUGCCAUUGAAACUGCUUAUCUUGAGUACAUUUGAGGCGGGCGGAAUGUGUCAUGUAGAUCGGUGAAAUGCUUAGAUAUGACACAGAACACCGAUUGCGAAAGGCAGC
rnacentral:rRNA from 1 species